rnacentral:rRNA from 1 species
UACGUAGGGUGCGAGCGUUAAUCGGAAUUACUGGGCGUAAAGCGCGCGCAGGCGGUUCGCUAAGACCGAUGUGAAAUCCCCGGGCUUAACCUGGGAACUGCAUUGGUGACUGGCGGGCUAGAGUAUGGCAGAGGGGGGGUAGAAUUCCACGUGUAGCAGUGAAAUGCGUAGAGAUGUGGAGGAAUACCGAUGGCGAAGGCAGCCCCCUGGGCCAAUACUGACGCUCAUGCACGAAAGCGUGGGGAGCAAACAGG